AGAGUUUGAUCAUGGCUCAGGACGAACGCUGGCGGCGUGCUUAACACAUGCAAGUCGAGGGGGGUGGGGCAACCCACUCACCGGCGAACGGGUGCGUAACACGUGAGCGACCCGCCCUACCAGAGGGGGAUAGCCGGCCCAACGGCCGGGUAAUACCGCAUACGCUCUUUGGGCUACAUGGCCUAGGGAGGAAAACCCGCAAGGGUGCUGGAGGAGGGGCUCGCGGCCUAUCAGCUAGUUGGCGAGGUAACGGCUCACCAAGGCGACGACGGGUAGCUGGUCUGAGAGGAUGGCCAGCCACAUUGGGACUGAGAGACGGCCCAGACUCCUACGGGAGGCAGCAGUGGGGAAUAUUGCGCAAUGGCCGAGAGGCUGACGCAGCGACGCCGCGUGUGGGAUGAAGCUCUUCGGGGUGUAAACCACUGUUGCCCGGGACGAAACUCCUGCUUUGGCGGGAUUGACGGUACCGGGUGAGGAAGCACCGGCUAACUCCGUGCCAGCAGCCGCGGUAAUAC
rnacentral:rRNA from 1 species